rnacentral:rRNA from 1 species
CAGCCGCCGCGGUAAUACAGAGGGUGCGAGCGUUAAUCGGAUUUACUGGGCGUAAAGCGUGCGUAGGCGGCUUCUUAAGUCGGAUGUGAAAUCCCUGAGCUUAACUUAGGAAUUGCAUUCGAUACUGGGAAGCUAGAGUAUGGGAGAGGAUGGUAGAAUUCCAGGUGUAGCGGUGAAAUGCGUAGAGAUCUGGAGGAAUACCGAUGGCGAAGGCAGCCAUCUGGCCUAAUACUGACGCUGAGGUACGAAAGCAUGGGGAGCAAACAGGAUUAGAUACCCCUUAGUCCCUGUCUCUUAUACC